GAUGAACGCUGGCGGCGUGCCUAAUACAUGCAAGUCGAGCGAACGGACGAGAAGCUUGCUUCUCUGAUGUUAGCGGCGGACGGGUGAGUAACACGUGGAUAACCUACCUAUAAGACUGGGAUAACUUCGGGAAACCGGAGCUAAUACCGGAUGAUAUUUUGAACCGCAUGGUUCAAAAGUGAAAGACGGUCUUGCUGUCACUUAUAGAUGGAUCCGCGCUUCAUUAGCUAGUUGGUAAGGUAACGGCUUACCAAGGCAACGAUGCAUAGCCGACCUGAGAGGGUGAUCGGCCACACUGGAACUGAGACACGGUCCAGACUCCUACGGGAGGCAGCAGUAGGGAAUCUUCCGCAAUGGGCGAAAGCCUGACGGAGCAACGCCGCGUGAGUGAUGAAGGUCUUCGGAUCGUAAAACUCUGUUAUUAGGGAAGAACAUAUGUGUAAGUAACUGUGCACAUCUUGACGGUACCUAAUCAGAAAGCCACGGCUAACUACGUG
rnacentral:rRNA from 1 species